UUAUGACCUGGGCUACACACGUGCUACAAUGGGCGGUACAAAGGGUCGCGAACCCGCAGGGGGAGCCAAUCCCAAAAAAGCCGCUACUCAGUUCGGAUUGCAGGCUGCAACUCGCCUGCAUGAAGCCGGAAUCGCUAGUAAUCGCGGAUCAGCAUGCCGCGGUCGAAUACGUUCCCGGGCCUU
rnacentral:rRNA from 1 species